rnacentral:rRNA from 1 species
UACGUAGGGGGCGAGCGUUAUCCGGAUUCACUGGGCGUAAAGGGAGCGCAGGCGGCACGGCAAGUCCGGUGUGAAAGCCCGGGGCCCAACCCCGGGACUGCACUGGAAACUGCCAUGCUGGAGUGCCGGAGAGGUAAGCGGAAUUCCUAGUGUAGCGGUGAAAUGCGUAGAUAUUAGGAGGAACACCAGUGGCGGAGGCGGCUUACUGGACGGUAACUGACGCUGAGGCUCGAAAGCGUGGGGAGCAAACAGG